rnacentral:rRNA from 1 species
GACGAACGCUGGCGGUGUGCUUAACACAUGCAAGUGGAGCGACGAACCAGGGCUUGCCCUGGGGCAGAGCCGCGAACGGGUGAGUAACACGUGGGUAACGUACCCCGAUCACCGGGACAACCCGAGGAAACUCGGGCUAAUACCGGAUGUGUCCGUGAAUCAUGAGGUUCACGUGCAAAGGAAGCUUCGGCCUCCGGAUCGGGAGCGGCCCGCGGCCCAUUAGCCUGUUGGUGGGGUAACGGCCUACCAAAGCGACGAUGGGUAGCUGGUCUGAGAGGACGAUCAGCCACACUGGGACUGAGACACGGCCCAGACUCCUACGGGAGGCAGCAGUGGGGAAUCUUGCGCAAUGCGCGAAAGCGUGACGCAGCAACACCGCGUGAGGGAAGACGGCCUCGGUUGU